rnacentral:antisense_RNA from 1 species
GUUGCCUCAAGACCUGAAAAUGAAUGAGCAUCAUCCCUUAAAGUGUUAACACGGAAGCAUCAAACCAAGAACAAUGAGAUAAAUCCUGUUUGCACAUCAUUUCCACUGCGUCACUCUUCUUUGUCUACAUUCUGAAGAAAUCGCACUGAAAACCUGUCUAAAUAUUCAUACUCUUUUUGAGCUUAAAUUUCAGUGGCCAAUUUCAUACUAUAUUGGAAAGUUUUGUCUAAUAAGAGCCGGACCUGUGUAUCCUGUAUAGAUUUUUGCCAGCAGAGGAUAUUGUCCUGAGUGCCAGCAUUUUGGGGGAUGUUGAACUGUAUCAGCUGAAGAGCUAUAGUCUAUCAGUUAUUAGCACUAUUCCUUUGUCUUGGACAUACUUAUGUUCGAAAGCAGUUUCUUCUCCCUCAAGAACUCAUUAAAUGUAUUCACCAAA